rnacentral:lncRNA from 1 species
CCUCUUUGUUUGUUGGUUCAUUGUCCAUGUUUCCUCAACACUAACUCAUCUCCUUAUGGUUUCCUGGUGAAUUCUGUUUCAUUUGAUUUCUUUCUCCUGGUGGAUUUGGAUUUAUCCAGUUGGACAUUUUUGAAGUAAGUCUUUGUUGUCUUUUGUUAAUGAAAGUUUUUGAGUUUUGCAUAUGGGUCUUCCUCUCUUUGAGCUGAGACUGAACCAAUCUUUCAAUUAAAAUUUGAUAGACUUUGGUACUGAGUGACAACCGCCCUUAUGAAGAUUGUUUACCUGUGAUCUACUACUCCAACCUGCUCCAACCUGACCUGCAAACUCUGGAGGUAUGAUGACCAACAGUUUGGUUCAAUCAGCAUUUCCAAUAUAGGGACUGUCAUCUACAGGCUUUGGUACUCCACAAGGUGAUCUUGCUGAGACUACAUACUGUACAUAACUUGUCCCCCCAAAAUGGACAAAUCAGAUUGUUUAGGAUUCAUCAACAUUUCUGACGUAGGAAAUAUUUUGGGCGUUAAAACUCAGAUAAACAAAAAGUAUGUCUGAUCAAAUCUUAUCUUGAAAGAUAUGGAGGAAAUGGAUCUGUAAAAAUUAAAACAAAAUUUCAGUGAAUUUAAAGAUGUUACAUCAAACUUUUAGACACCGAGUGAUAAUCAAUGGCUUUAUUGUUUUAUCUUAUACACCCUGCUGUUUUAUUUUAAUGUUAGGUUAUGGCCCCAUUUAUACGUACCCUUUUUUUUUUUUUUUUUUCAAAAACGGCGACAUUUACCAUCAUUUGCACCCUUCGUUUAGGCACUAACAGAGGAUUCGCCCCUGAAAACGAUGCUUUUUAAAACUUUGGCUAGAGAGGAGAUUUUGCAAUGGCCGAUGGCAGAAACUGGGCUAAAUGUGACGUUGUUUACAAUUUAUGGUGAUCAUGGAUGCAUGUAGAAUAGAGGUCAAAUUUAUGCUGGUGCAAUCCCUUUUGUAUUUGUUUGCAUUUGCGUCUUUUCCAAAAGAAGGAAGUGACGUUGUAGUUGUUGCUGCUAUGCGUGAUUCUGAUUGGCCAACCUUGGCUUGAGCUUCUCGCUACACUGCCACCUCCAUGUUUGGCACACUCUUGAUGGCAUAUAUACACGGGUUAGUGUAAACAAAAACUUUUCUGACAACAUAGUGGUGUGCACACAGUUAUUUUUUGUAAACGGAGAGGGUGAAAUGUCAGUUUAUGAAAAUAGCCGGACAUAAAUGAAGUCUAUGUUGUAGAGCUCCGGCUGGAUCGGUCCCACCUCGUUUUUCUGGAGUCUGUUCCAUCUCCUUUCUUCGAUGUGAGAAGAUUGCAGAAUUACCGACAUGAUCUUUCCACCAUUUCUCGUUAAGCAGAGAACAUUUUGUCCUCUUUCCGCUCUGUCACUCCUUUUGUUACUGAUUGUUCGCGUUAGAGCUGUUAUGACAUUUUUUAAAUGAUUUCCUUUUCUCUGUGAUUUUCUUCUCUCUCUUUCUUUCUUUCUUUCUUUCAACCUCGUGCCAACUCUUCAGACUUUUCUUUCUCAGAGCUGUAACAUGGGUUGUAUGAGGUUAGGGUGCAGCUUUUAGUGCAGUGGAAAGUCAAAUAUCAAGGGAUGUUUUUUUUUCUUUUCCAAUGUAACGCUUCAGACCUUUUUUUGCACAUCCUGUGAUGGAAAAAAAACAACUCAUACAAACCCCUGAGUCUCCAAAGACCUCUACACACAAGAUGCACUCCUACCGAAAACCUUUAGAAAGCAUGUAUUUUCAAUAAGUUUGACAUUUUGACACCAGGAAAUAGUAAAAAAGAAAUAAUAGCAGGGAGUGAAGGGCUUAAGUGAAUAACUGAAUAAAUUAGUUGGAGUGCAAAUGGAGUUAUAUGAUCUCGGGUCUCUGAAGACCUCAGGAGUGCAUUUAAGAGUUAAAGCAGGCAGUUCAGUAGAUAAUUGACAGUUCUUCUCCCGCAGUCGGACAUGGACCUUGUCGACUCAUGAUUGAGGAAACGGGUAAUGGAGAAAGAUCGCUGAAUUUCAUCCACAAACAACAGCUCUGCCUCAUAUCCAUUAGCUGCUCCUGAACCUGCAAUACGAGGUUUCCCGUUACUGAAGGGUGAUAUUAUUUUCUCAAGGGAUGUCACUGUUGGUUUGUCAAUCAGUCUGGGAUUACAGAGCAGGCAAAGGAAGUUAAACCGAGGGGGUUAAAAGAAGGUUUGUGCACUUAACCCCAUAAAACGAGUUUAUUUCAAAUCUGUUUAUCUCAUAAAUUCCUCUGCUGGAGCCACAGCUUUCUCUCUGGCACCAUAAAGCCAGCACUUGGACUUGUUGUCUAUCAGAAAAUUUACUCUCCAGUUUGCUUGAAUUCGGCAAACCGAUGCUCCGUCUUUCAUAAAAGCUACAAAAGUCACGAAUAUGUCAACAAAUUGCUGUUGGAUUUGGCAAAUUCACACUCCCGUUUCUGCUUUUUCACCUCUACCCUCUCAGUCAAAGAAACCUCCGGCUCUUCAUCUUGAACAAAGUCUGACCCAGGAGCCAGAAAUUUUUUACAACAAAAAAAUUUCAGAGUCGAAGUCGUACAAGUUCUCUGUAUCCACGCGGAAACUUUAAUGGCUCUUUGAAAACACUCUUUCUCAGCAAGGACUAUAAUUUUCCAGCCAUUGACUAAUUCCUUAUUCGGCGUCUGAUUCAAGGAAGUCUGGAGAAACCAAACUGAUGUGCAGCGGCUGAAAAUCACUCGCAGAGUAGGAGAAUGGAGGACAGAAUGUGUGAAAUGAACGGUAAUUAAUGUUGAAUAAGUAAGGCCUGAAGAAAAGGCCAGCACGUGCUCCUCUCCUCCAGCCUGGCACUAAUGGGAAUAUGAUUGCAUUCUCUCCUUUUUUUCCCCCUCGUGAGGGUUCUUUGUCUAAUUCAAUCAAUACUUCAGGGCAUUCAAUGCACUCAGAGUGGAUGCUCUGAAUGAGGUGAAAUCAAAGCAAAGCGAUUCAGACAGCGAAUGCAGCCAGUUUCGCCGGUGGUCUAAUCUUGUAAAAAGCCUGAAAAUGCGGGCUGUGUUUUAGUCUCAGCGAGCCUGAGAAGCCCUUAAAAAAAUCAAAAACUGCAGCGGUAUUUCUAGAGAAUCAGACUGUAACCCCCUGCUAGGUGCAGUAAUAAGUUUGAGAUUUGAAGCUGGAUCUUGCAUCAUAUUAAGCUGUGACAGAAGUUGACAUUUUCUUUGUGUGAUGGAGGAGAAUUUUCGAUGUCUUUUGCCUGGAAAAGGCUGAGGAACACCAUCCACCGAGGGCAGCGGAUGUCAGCAGCUACAGUGUUUUUCAGCAACCUUUUCAACCUCUCCUGACUCCAAUUAACUUGCCAAGCCAUGUAACACAAAAUGUUGACAGGGAUGAAUGACAGCCGAGCAAAAGGUCCAACCAAUACCAUCUGGGAGAUUACAUCUUUAAUAUAUUCUCAAACAGUAUGGACGUGCGGUCGAGUGUAAUUAAUAGGCAUAUAUAUGCAUUGACUGCAGGAUCACAUUCAUAAAAUUCAGGAAUUAUAAUUUCUAUACCCGUACUCAGGCCUUUUAUGACCCUCAAGGGUGCUAAUUUGAAAGGAAAUGCAAUAACCAGACGUUAAUCUGUGAAAUGAAUUCAUAAGAUUUCACACUUAGACUCUGAAGAUACCUUUCCACUCAAAGCCAAUCAAUCAAUCAACCUUUAACUAUCUGAGUUUAUACAGCAGGAUAGACACGACAAAAUAGCUGGUCUAGAACAUAUCUACAAAGACGGGAUCAGACUGAGCCACAUCUUAACAGACCCAUCUUGAACCACAUGCACUUUGCAUCAUUUAUGAAGUUACAGUGGAGAGGAAGAAACCUCAAGGCAUGUUAGGCCAGCUUUCCAUCAGAGGACUUUAAGAAGAUUUGGAAAAGACUCCAAGAAAACUAUCGGCUCACAUUUAAAGACAAGUGUUUUCAAGAGUUUUUAGUCACAGUCUAGUCUCAGACUUUUUUUCACAAAGACUGUGAAUCAUGCAGGGUCACUAUUUUUUAUUCUUUUAGCAUUUUUUUACAGUUCAUUGUUUCCCUCUGGUGGGGAAUCUAUCUGUGGUGGUGUGUGAUUUGAAGGGGGGUGGCUCAUUGAUCAGCUGUGUGUUCGCAUAUGACAACUCGGAACUCCCUUAUGCUAAUACUUGGCACAUGGGUGCGCCGCGUAUACUGGUACAUACUGAGUCCGAGGUAGCGCAUAAAAAAACAUUAUUGUUGAGGUGUGGCGGCUUUUAUUAAACUGUGCACCAUUACAUGUAGGGAAACCCUGCAGUUGGUGUUGAAUAGGCACGUCUGAUCUGUCCACAGCUCCACUAUCUGCUCCUUAUCUAUCGUCAGUAAUUCUUCAUACAUUCUUGUUCUUUUUGUUUUAACUGCCAGCUUUCCUUUCCUGCUUUUGCUAUUGGUCAUCUAUUGGUUAUUGGUUGUGUUACGUAACUAUGACUUGCGAUAUUAUCAAACACGUUUGAUAUCAUUGCAAACCCAAUUAGAUUAGGAAAAGACUGAUAUGAAACAGCACAGAUUACCACCUUAAACUUAAUGAUCGAGAUGACGGGAGCGCGCUCUGACUCCAGUAAAACUCCAACAUUUACUGAAGACUUUCAGUUUUGAGUCUGGGACUGUGAAAACUGUUCAUUGGAAGCCCAACAUCAGACAGUCAUCUGCUGAGACUGCAUCAGGUUCAAAGAGGGGAUAGAGGUGAAAACAGGCAGAUCCACGACAGCAGAGGAACCUACAGCAUGAUGGAGCUCAGGGACUCCCAGAGAAGACUGUGAACUAGAGACUCUAAUAGGACAUAAUGUGAAGAGUUAAUGGCACAGACAGAUAGAGGAUAGUGUAAAAAGCCGUGAAAAUAAAGCAAAUUAAAGCGAGCCUCUAAAAAUUGUCUGUAUCUAACUGAUUAAGUGUUGCACCAUUUAAGUCCCACCCCCUGAAUUUCUCUGGUUUUACAGGAUACAACUCAAUAAAUAAAGUUAUUUAUUUGUUAUUUAUUUUUCAUUACAUGCAAAAUUCAAAAACAGUAUAAAAAUAGAGUAUCUCAUUUUAAGUUUAAGUAAAUUAUUGUUCACAAUUUCUAAAAUCAACUAAAAUGUUUUAAUUUUAGUUUCAUGAUCUUCAGUUCGAAACAUUUUAAAUUACUCAUUUUUUAAUGUUGUGAUUUCUGUUUUUGAGUUUGAGUAAACUGCUCUCCAAACAGUUCAAGUGAUCAGUUUCUCUUGGUCCAGUUUGGUACAGUUCUUCAUCACCGUGCUUUAAUGCAAAGCUGACUAGAAGAGAAAACACGGGCUCUAGGAAAAGGUGCUCAAGCAGCAGGGAUGACCCCGGCCUUGAGAGGAUUGAAGGACUACAGAGAGCUUCUCAAGGAGUAGAUUGAGUCUGGUGUCAGCGAUUCAAGAGCCGCCAUGCACAAACAUCUUCAGGAGACUACAACUGAUGCAUUCUUAAUAUCAAGCAGAGACGUCAGAAGCGUCUUUACCUGAGCUAAAGAGAAGAAAAAUAGCUGCUCAGCAUACAAAAAUCAAAGUAUUAUGUUUCAUCUGAAAAUCAAGGUCCUGGAGUUUGGAGGAAGAUCAGAGAGGCACAAAACCCAAGGUGUUUGAAGUCCAAGGUUAGGGUUUUUCAGUCUGUGAUCAUUUGGGGUGCCGUGUCAUCUGCUGGUGUUGGUCCACUAAAGUCUACCAAGAGGUUUUAGAGCAUUUCAAGCUUUAUGAGAAUGCUGAUUUCCUAUCCAGCAGGACUUUGCACCUGCCCGCUGCGCCAAAACUACCACUUAAUAGUUUCCUUACGAUGAUUUUUCGUAUCCGACAUUCACAUUUCUGUUCAGUAAAAUCUCCUUUUUUAAUGAUCUUUGGAAAUAUACAUAUAAUUUAAGAAACUGGCCAUCUCAAAGCCAAAUUUAUCAAAAUUAAAACCAAAAAUAGGCUAAAAACUAGGGCUGUAAAGUCCUAGUCCAUUGGUUGAAUUGUUUGGUCCAUACGUACUGAGUCGACUCAAAAUUCCGAUUGGUUGACUUGAUUUUUUUCCACGUUGAUUUACAGUCUAUGGUUAAUUUCAUCAGGAGGAAUGUACCAAGUGCUAAUGGGGGUGUUUUCAGGGCACCCCCAUCUAUUUCACAGGUAACAGCUUGUCUCAGAAUACCCCCCAUGUUUUCACAAGUUUGGAUUUGUCCAACCCCCUGGAGACCAGCUUGGAGACAGGAGGAUUGAAGAGUGUCUGGUGGUUUGCUAAGUAUUUAUUUUUGUUUUGAGUGUUUCAACUUACUUGUGCUGAUAUCAGUAUAUUUUUACCCCAUUGAGCCAUGCCGCAGAAUAGUUUGCCCGCAGAGUCGGAAAAAUCCUCCCCCAGCUUAAUCUAUUUUUGGUCAAAAAUUACAGGGUUUUAGUCGACCAAGAAUUUCUUUGGUUGAUUACAGCACGCCUAAAGACAUAAUUUUUUUUCAGUAAUCGUUAAAGUAUACGUGAAAGUUUACCAUGCUAAAUCAAAUGAACAAAAAAUAAAGCUGUACUUUCUCCUUUGUGGGAACUUUUAAGAAUUAAGAAUAAACAUUUUAGGACUUUUUUGCCUCCAGUGUUGGAGACAUGCUGCGUGCGUCCCACAUCCCCUGAUCGGUUGGCCAACAUCCCGAGAUGUGGUGAAAUUGCCACAUUUUACAUCAGCAGCAUGAUAGCGUGAGCGAUCCCCAACGAGAACGACCAAUUCAGGCCCACAAAAGGCUCCCCACUCCUCUCUCCUUCUGAAAUGGUUUGGGUUUUUGCAGCAUCUGACCUUGAGCAAACCACUAUUACGCGGACUUAUUCAUCCCAGCGUCUCAUCAGAGGCUCACAGCCGAGUUGGACAAGUGUGUGGCACUUCACAGGGGCGGCAGAAGCCCUCCCCCAAAUACCUGCUUAAAAGCAGCAAAGCAGCAGAGAUAAGCUGCAUCAAAUCGAUUAAAAUCAUGCACGGGGUGUGGUGGGAAAAAAUGAGACAAUUUAUUUUUCAGGUCAUAUCGCCCUGCCCUACUUUUCUCCCUGUAACACGUCUGCUCACACACACACACACCCUCCCCGCAGCAAUCAUUUUCAUUAUCGGGGCGUUUUAACAGUGCAAACCUUGUUUAUCUGUUAUUCUAUCUGUUCCAAUGACAGAACACAAAGCGACGUUUACUUUUACAAGCCUGACACACAGUACGCCAAAUUGCAUGAUGGCUGCAGAAGCAUUCAGCGUGAUUCCGCCUCCAAAGCGGAAUCGACAAUUAUAAUAGCUGUUUGCGGUGAAAGAGGCGUUCAAUAUAUUUCCUCUUGCGGUAAUCAGUCCUGUGUGGCUCAACUUAAACCUCGCUGAAUGCAGACGGACAAAACAUCCUCACUCAUGCGCAUCGCUCAGCUGCUCUCCAGCUCUCCUCCCCCGGUAAUUGUGUUUUUCUUUGCACUUCGGCGAUAAAAUUGCUUCUGUUGCCUCCACCCUCUUUUCUCUUCUUUCAUUUACUCCAGAUGUUUUAUUAACUUCAAGUUAUUUCCUCUAUGAAAGCCAUGUGACUCCAGGGUGUACAAGCUGGAACGCAGCUUUUAAGGGUACAAUACUGUCCAAUAAACAAAAACAGACUGGAAUCUGUCAAAUCUGUAUAAUUUUCCUAUUAAGUGCAAUUCUUAAGGAAUUUCAUGCUAUACUAAUGUAUUUUCUGCCCUGGUGCAAUAUGCCUUCUGAUAAAUUCCAGCUAUAAUGCAUUGAAAAAAGGCCCGUGAAGGUUCAGCAUGCAGAAAAAUUGAGUAAUUUUAAUACACAAUGCACUCUGCUUUCUGAAACACGGAUCCAACACCCCGCCAUAAUAAAAGCAGAGGUUGUAAAUCACCCUCACAGCCACUGCUUCUGCCUUCCUGCUCAGAUUACAACCUCUGCAGCUCCUCUCACUGCUGCUGCACACCAUUUUGGAACUCAUCAGCCGCACUAACACCCGAGCUUCUGCCUGAAAUAUACUCCCAAAUGAAAUUUGGUGCGUUUACAUUGGCAAAAAUGAAAGUGCCAAAAAGAAGCUCCACAUGAGGCUUUGAUGUUUGCGGUGUGCCAGAGUGUGCGGAGAUUUACUGAAAAUGAGAAUAUACGCAUGAUUCAGGAGAUAAAUGAGACUCAGGGGCAGGAGGUUCAAGGAAACUGCUCUACAUUUAAGGCAAGAGCUCGCAGUAUUACACGCUUCUGUUUUUCUCCACUGAUGCCAUGAAAAAUCUGCAUCUUAACACUCGCCUUCUUUUAUUUAUGAACUUCAGCCUCACCUCCCAAAACGCUUUCAAAAUGUACUGGAGUCACAAAUAUUCACUUUUGAGAACAUCUUCAAACCAAAGUGUUUUGUAAAGGUCAUUUAUCACCAGUGAGAGGAUGAUUUUUAACAAUUUAAGGAUCAGACUGAACUUAAAACUGAAGCAGAAACCAACAGGAGCAUCAGUGAGAUCCACAGUUUCUGUAUGACACUAUUAAUGGAAAAGAGGUGCCUUUGUUGACAUUUCCGGUAAAAAAGAUUCGAUAAGUAAUGCUGUAGAGGGGUAAAACCAUAGACUGUAUAUAGAAUGGACGCCGUCUGCCUCCUCUUUGGGUAAAGCCACUUUGAGAACAGCACCCUCUGGUGACGGGCUGCAGUAAAGGUCAUAAAUUUCGCCUCCUCCAGCAAUCCCAAUAGAGCUGUGGACAAACUUUAGAAAUUAAUUACACAGAACAUACAUUUUUCUCCCCCCUUGUUGUUAUGUUGACAUGCAGUUACUGUAAGACUGGUUUGUGCUCAAGUUCUCUUUUUUCUGUGCAGCUCCGUUUUUAAAAGUGAUUAGGGAGUUCAUGUUUUCUACGAUUGACACUUGAUACAGCCUAUGGGCGCACGAUUGCAUAGCUCACCUGGGGGAUACGCUGUUUGAGCCGAGUGUCAUUACAGCGACUCUCCUGCCAAAUGCGUACCAUGCUACUGCGCAUGCAGUGAUUCCAUGAAGUGGAAAAAAUCCUGCAAAUCCCGAGAGCAAUUCAGCAUCAAAUUCGUAUGACGGAAGGCGGAACCAAGUUCUCCAUGGUAGGGGUGUCCCGACUUUCUUACUUCUGAUAUGAUACUGAUGUUGUAGCCUUCAGUAUCGGCAGAUACCGAUAUUAAUCCGAUAUUGGCAUAAACUUGUGCGUGGCAAGUUUUGCACUCAGCUGCAGUGUCUUUUUCUGACUUUAACAAAAAAUACUGCCACACCUACUCCUUUGUUUGUACCUUAGUUCACACUGUUGUUGUGUACUCUUCUCACCAAUGUUUUUACUAUUGCAGCAUCAUGAAAAUUACUCCAUACUUCCCCUAGUGGUGAUAGUUAAAGCUCCAGUGAGGAAGUUUAAGUUUGUGUUAGCUUUUGCGCCCCCUUGCGGACAAAGCAGUCUAUACGCAUCUCAUUCUAUACAUUUCAGGGGUGAAUCUAGACAUCAAAAACCUCAUUCAGAUGAACAUUAUUGUAUUGUUCAUGCAAUGCUAUGGUUCAUUCAGAGGGAGGCGCUCUCGAGUUAUUGUAGUGUUUGGUAAGCCAGAAGAAGGAAAAAACAGGGUUCAGCUGUUCAAAACCACUAGUAAGAAAGUGUAACACAGGUUUUUGCAGAAUAGCUACACUGUUUUUAUGUGUUUUUAAAAAGCUGACUUAAAGCGUGCAAGUUUUACAAAUUGCAUUGGAGUCUUUUUUCUAAAACUUAACAAUUAUAACUCACCUCUAUUAUUGUGAAUAUCUUAUGUGGCAAUUAGAGAAACAGAUUUGUUAAUUUGGCUGCACUUACAACACCUACCCUCUUGCACCAGUUUAAGCAUUAAUAUUUACAACAUAAAAAGUGGUGAAUUUUGUCGCUGAUUGUUGUGUUUGUUUUUGGUAAGGGUAAAAGUGCAUCAAUGUGAAUCUCAGUCUGUUUCAUAAAUGUGAAAAAAAAGUCCCCAGUGGAGCUUUAAUGCUUGAAACCCUUUCUAUUUGCUUUUAUUGAAUGACCUUCAAGAAAGCCUAAAAACGUGCAGAUAGAAGUCAUGUCUGCAGAUGUAGAUAAAGUUUCUCUGUUGUUGUUGACAAAGACAUUAUCUUUAAUGUAAUGUUUGUGGAGGUUGCACUCCAGCGCACAGUCAGUGCUCCAUUCAAUUGUAAUGGCGACAGGACAGUUGUUGUGGAAUGACACAAAAACAACAUAAUUACAAAUGGAAAUACAGUCACUAAUGAAGCGACACGGGCUUCUUCUUAUUUCACACUUCCAAACUCCCCCGAACACCCGCUAACUUAUCUCACAAAUUUGGCAUUCUAUGUUCGCUGCAUCAUUUCUGGUCCCUGCCUCUGCUCUGCCAUCGCCACGGGGCAGCAGUCAAACUUACAGCCCCUCCACCUCCCCGGCAUCCACCUGCAGGCUGCGACUAGAGGGUUUAAGAUAUUAUCUCAUCGCUCAUCACUGACGAUAAAACUGCGAGGAGUGUUGAGGCUGGAGACUAGAUGCUAAACACGAUAUUUUUAACUUGCCUCCUGUGUGAGCUUUUACUACGCACCCACCAUGUUAAGGGUCGGUUUUGACCUGUGUCUUAAAUCAGCUGCAAAUAACACAAAAACAUUUCUCUAUCGUCCAAUUUGGUUCUCAUCUCUAGGUUACCUUGUUAAACUUCAUUAUCCAUGAAAGUAUUGCUUAGAAUAGCUUUUGUAGUGGGGCUCUGGUUCUUUCUUUGUCAGUUUACCCCUCACACAGACAUCUAUACUGAAUUGAUCUCACAUGUCUGGACAUGCCUGACGUUUUUUGUGCAGUGAGACAUGGCAGAAUGAGAAUUUCCUAUAUCUCACAUGAUUGGAAGAGGAUCUGACUGUCAGUGUGGUGCCUCACAGUGCACUUAUGAUUUCAGUUUUUGCUCUAAUUAUUAGAUUUGGAUCUAACCGGGUCAACAGUGAUCCUAACACAACAAGUGCCAUAAUAUUAAUAAGAGCAUUUUAUAAUUUAGUCAAUUUACUUUUUUGUUUUUAUUUUGUUGGAAUAGAGGUUCCUGACAAUGUCAAAAAGUCUUGAUGCAAAAAAAAGCUAAUUAAAGUGGUUCUUUUAAGCAAUUAAAAUCAAAAACGUGUCAGUGCAGACCCUAACACAGGAGGAGGGUUAAUGCAGUAUGUGGUACUUGUUUGUGUUGCUGAAUCAAAAUGCUUUAGCUAUCAUUUUUCAGCACUUGAAAUCUCAGAUAUGCAUCCAUCAAUACGUCAGUGAUCUCCUCUGAUCCUCUCACCUCCAUCAUUGUUGUAAUCAUUUCAAUCAUGCGUCCUCAUCUCAGAUUAUGAGCAUGACUGCAGUUAGCUUCUGCAUGUGAGUAAUUGUGAAAUGGUUCCAACAUUUAUUGGAUCUGCUCUUGGAUAUCAGGGUUACGGUUAGGUAACUGAUGGUGUAUUAUCAUGCUGAUGCAAUGACCAGUGAGUCAUACAGAGAUGAGUCAUGCAUGUGUUCAGUGUUUUUGUAUUGUCCAACCCUUCUUGUCUCAUCAAAGGUCAGGACUGUGGAGCCAAAGUAGCUUACAAAUCUGAAACGAACAAACACGAAUCCUGCGGGACACGGACUGUUGUGCUGUUCAAAAAAAAUAAAUAAAAAAUACGCCACUCUGUUGAUGGAUCCUGAUGAAAACUCAGGGGAUCACCGAAGCCAUUAGGGUUCAAACUCAGGGGAGUUUGUGCCGAAUGUCAGGCCGCAGUGCAGCCCAUGGUUAUUUCCCCGAAGGCGACAAAUGUCAAACCCCCUUGGAUGCAUUUGAGGAAAGGUUGGGGAUCGCAACAUUCAGUCGCGAGCAUCUUUUCAGAGGGGGGCAUGAAUAUCAGUAAAGCACAGUAAAGCUCUCUUAUUCGUGGAGAUAUUCCUGCAGGAACCAAAGCAGUGGAGUGAACAACCAAGCAACUCCAAAGCCAGGAGAGAAAUUAAAAAAACCUUACAAACAAAUCUGUGCCAUCUGAUUUUGAAUUUGAAUUUCUAAAGCUGAAUAUUUUUGCAUCAAAAUCAGACUUUCAAUUUCGAAACUAUUGAUUGUCAAGCAUGCAUUUUUAUUUCUGACACUUUUUUUUUUACAAUCAUGAAAUAAAUUCAGUGUAAAAAAAUCAGUCUCUAAAAAGAUUUGUUUAGUAAAAAUUCAACUUAAAAAAAAGCUGUGUAAAAAAAUAAAAUAAAAUAAUUCAACAUAAAAAACAUUUUAAGUGUCCAAUAAUUCAGUGUAAAACAGACCGACUCAACAUCCGGGUAAUCAGGGAGAGGAAAUCGAUUCCUGGCUCAAUCAUCCAUCGUCCAGCCAAUCAAAUAAUGCUAGACUGUUCAUGUGACCCUAGUGGAAGAGUGAGGAAUCUAUUGCAUCUCCCUUAUUACCCAGAUGUUGAGUCGGUCUGUUUUUUAUACUGAAAUUUUUGUUUUGCAGGUUUUUUUUUUAAGUUGAAUUUUUACUACAAGAAUAUUUUGAGAGACCAAAUUUUUUUUUUUGACACUCAAUUUAUUUCAUCAUUGUGAAAAAAAAAAAUAGUGAAAUAGAGAUAUAAGAAAUAAGAAAUAAGAAAUAGAAAUGCAUGCUUGAAAUUCUAUAGUUUGAUUUCGAUGCAAGAAAAAUUUAGUUUAAGAAAAUAAAAUUCAAAUCCAGGUGGCACAGAUUGACUUCCAUUCACACUUUUUUUCUUUUCUCCGAUUACACAAGAACACUGAAAACAAACUAAUACAUCCUUAAUCUUGCAUGUGCAGAGGAAGCCGACCGAGAAGGCGGACAUGUGACCCCUCAGGGUGACACCUUUAGCUCAACACUCAUCGGGCGGAAACUGCUGGACCUGCUGGAAGGGAGAAGAAUGCAGGUCACACACAGACACACACAGACACGCAGGAAAAACAUGUCUGUGAAUAACAACCACCAUUGAAAUUCCAGGCCAUAGCCCUGGCUCUAAAUAAGCACAGAGGUGUAAGCAGAGAAUCACCAUUGCCAUUCAAAGGAAGCAAAAACUUCACACCUCCAAACGUCAUUAUGCUUAUCCAAACCCUUAUCGCCGCUCUGGAAUUACUCAGUUGGUCUGCAGUGGGAUCACAGGAGGACCUUUUGAUGCAACCUUCCAAGGAAGAAAUAAAGCAAAAAUAUGAUGGAAUAAAAUGCCCACCUCUACUGUACAGCUGUGCUAUCAGCUCGAAGCUCCGGCUUUCACUCGGGCAUGCAGAGGGUGUUUUGUGCUGAUAAAUUUACCAAGUGUACAUCAGGGUGCUGGAGACGCAAGGAAUUCAGAGGUAGACCGAGAGAUCUGGGGACCCUAAAGAGGAUUACAAACCGCCGCCACCGUAACCACCGCUACCCUUGUCAGGGCCUCAAGCUGCACGGUGGCGAUAUCCAUCAGGUGCAAUGAAUGCAGACUACAGCCUGUAAAAGCAGCAGAGGGGACUGGAGCUCUGCUGCUGUCCUAAAUCAUCUAAAAAAUCACCUCACCAAGUCUUCUUUGAGAGAUUUAAAUAUUUUCUCUUGACUAUUUUAUGCAAAUGACUCAAUGAUCAUUAUACAGAUUAUCGGGUUGCAUUAUUCAUCGCGUAAUGGGGGUGCAGAUGAGCCUAGACAAUUGGCUCUACCAUUUAAGAUGGGAAUGGAUGUUUCAGGCCUCUGGAAAUUUGGCAGAUAUCAUAUUAAAUGUCCGGGUCUCUUAAAGCAUCCUCAUUAUUCUGAGUUAAAACAAGCACUGCCAAACUUUGCCUAAAACAGUCGUUUUAAAGUUGAUAUUUUAAUUGAUAUGUCUGCCUUUUCAAAAGGUGAGUUUUAAAAUCGUUCGCUGGAACAUGUUUAAAGAAAGAAAAAUCCAAAAUUUUAGAGACGGGCUGCAGUUACACUUUGUAUUUCACCUCAAGUAACCAUUAGUUGCCUUGGAGUAUCUCUACUUUAACUCAAAUAAUGAUGUGUCCUUUGUCCGCCACCAGGAAUAAAUUACACAAUAAACUUCUGAG